UGAUUAAAGGGUCAAAAGGUAUCAUCGAUGCAUGCUUGCAUGCAAUUCGAUGUAUACCUUAGUGACCCGCACUACACCGAGAAAGUAGCAAUUUGCUGCGGAAACGCAGGAAAUUAGCGGAUUUCGAGGUGGAGUCAGAUUUAUAAAAGGCAGAAUAUAGGUAAAUGG
rnacentral:sRNA from 1 species